GUGGGGAAUUUUGGACAAUGGGCGCAAGCCUGAUCCAGCAAUGCCGCGUGCAGGAAGAAGGCCUUCGGGUUGUAAACUGCUUUUGUACGGAACGAAACGGUCCUGGUUAAUACCUGGGGCUAAUGACGGUACCGUAAGAAUAAGCACCGGCUAACUACGUGCCAGCAGCCGCGGUAAUACGUAGGGUGCGAGCGUUAAUCGGAAUUACUGGGCGUAAAGCGUGCGCAGGCGGUGCUGUAAGACAGGCGUGAAAUCCCCGGGCUCAACCUGGGAAUUGCGCUUGUGACUGCAGUGCUGGAGUACGGCAGAGGGGGAUGGAAUUCCGCGUGUAGCAGUGAAAUGCGUAGAUAUGCGGAGGAACACCGAUGGCGAAGGCAGUCCCCUGGGCCUGUACUGACGCUCAUGCACGAAAGCGUGGGGAGCAAACAGGAUUAGAUACCCUAGUAGUCC
rnacentral:rRNA from 1 species